AUUGGGUGGUUUAUGAACAAAAACAAAAUGAUAUCAAUAUGUAUAUAAGUGUAGUAAAUACGAUAUUUAAUAUUUUUAAUAGAAGCGCAGGAUAAGAACUCGUGUUGCUUGAUUUUUAUCAGCGUAUUGUAGUAGUUUAACAUCUAACUCUUCGCUUCUUCAGUCUUGGGUAAUAAACGUUGCAUAUUUUUUGAAUUUCAGGUUAAAACAUUUGAAAAUUACUUUAACUAUCUACAUUACCACAGGUCUCGCUACACCUCUCCUUUCAAUAGCAUCACUGAAACAAUUCUCCUAAGUGAACAUGAAAAUCUAUCUUCGCAUUAUUUGAAAAUCAAAAUUUGACUUCAUUAAUUAUAAAUAUAUACAUAUGUUCAUGUAUUCAUAUGAAAUCAUUGCAUACCUAGUAAUGCAUGUUUGGUUGUUAAGAAUUUGCACACGCUGAUGGCAUCAAUAAAUUUGCUGAAAA